AACCAGUACCGUGAGGGAAAGGCGAAAAGAACCCCGGCGAGGGGAGUGAAAAAGAACCUGAAACCGUGUACGUACAAGCAGUGGGAGCACCUUCGGGUGUGACUGCGUACCUUUUGUAUAAUGGGUCAGCGACUUAUAUUCUGUAGCAAGGUUAACCGUAUAGGGGAGCCGCAGGGAAACCGAGUCUUAACUGGGCGUUAAGUUGCAGGGUAUAGACCCGAAACCCGGUGAUCUAGCCAUGGGCAGGUUGAAGGUUGGGUAACACUAACUGGAGGACCGAACCGACUAAUGUUGAAAAAUUAGCGGAUGACUUGUGGCUGGGGGUGAAAGGCCAAUCAAACCGGGAGAUAGCUGGUUCUCCCCGAAAGCUAUUUAGGUAGCGCCUCGUGAAUUCAUCUUCGGGGGUAGAGCACUGUUUCGGCUAGGGGGUCAUCCCGACUUACCAACCCGAUGCAAACUACGAAUACCGAAGAAUGUUAUCACGGGAGACACACGGCGGGUGCUAACGUCCGUCGUGAAGAGGGAAACAACCCAGACCGCCAGCUAAGGUCCCAAAGUCAUGGUUAAGUGGGAAACGAUGUGGGAAGGCACAGACAGCCAGGAUGUUGGCUUAGAAGCAGCCAUCAUUUAAAGAAAGCGUAAUAGCUCACUGGUCGAGUCGGCCUGCGCGGAAGAUGUAACGGGGCUAAACCAUGCACCGAAGCUGCGGCAGCGACACUAUGUGUUGUUGGGUAGGGGAGCGUUCUGUAAGCCUGCGAAGGUGACCUGUGAGGGUUGCUGGAGGUAUCAGAAGUGCGAAUGCUGACAUAAGUAACGAUAAAGCGGGUGAAAAGCCCGCUCGCCGGAAGACCAAGGGUUCCUGUCCAACGUUAAUCGGGGCAGGGUGAGUCGACCCCUAAGGCGAGGCCGAAAGGCGUAGUCGAUGGGAAACAGGUUAAUAUUCCUGUACUUGGUGUUACUGCGAAGGGGGGACGGAGAAGGCUAUGUUAGCCGGGCGACGGUUGUCCCGGUUUAAGCAUGUAGGCUGGUU
rnacentral:rRNA from 1 species